AGCUUGAAUCCUUUUGACCGAUGCCUAAUCUCAUCUUUCCCUUCGGGAACAGAAGUGACAGGUGGUGCAUGGUUGUCCUCAGCUCGUGUCGUGAGAUGUUGGGUUAAGUCCCGCAACGAGCGCAACCCUUAUCCUUUGUUGCCAGCACGUAAUGGUGGGAACUCAAAGGAGACUGCCGGUGAUAAACCGGAGGAAGGUGGGGAUGACNUCAAGUCAUCAUGGCCCUUACGAGUAGGGCUACACACGUGCUACAAUGGCAGAUACAAAGAGAAGCGACCUCGCGAGAGCAAGCGGAACUCAUAAAGUCUGUCGUAGUCCGGAUUGGAGUCUGCAACUCGACUCCAUGAAGUCGGAAUCGCUAGUAAUCGUAGAUCAGAAUGCUACGGUGAAUACGUUCCCGGGGCUUGUACACACCG
rnacentral:rRNA from 1 species